rnacentral:rRNA from 1 species
AGAACGAACGCUGGCGGCAUGCCUAACACAUGCAAGUCGAACGCUUCCGGGGCUUCGGUCGCGGAGGAGUGGCGCACGGGUGAGUAGCGCGUGGGAACCUGCCCUGUUGUGGGGGAUAACCGAGGGAAACUUCGGCUAAUACCGCAUACGCCCCGGGACUUGGUCUUCGGAUUAGGUCUGGGGGAAAGAUUGAUCGCAGCAGGAGGGGCCCGCGUCGGAUUAGCUGGUUGGUGGGGUAACGGCUCACCAAGGCGAUGAUCCGUAGCUGGUCUGAGAGGAUGAUCAGCCACACUGGGACUGAGACACGGCCCAGACUCCUACGGGAGGCAGCAGUGGGGAAUAUUGGACAAUGGGGGCAACCCUGAUCCAGCAAUGCCGCGUGAGUGAUGAAGGCCUUAGGGUUGUAAAGCUCUUUCGCCCGCGACGAUGAUGACGGUAGCGGGAGAGAAGCCCGGCUAACUUCGUGCCAGCAGCCGCGGU